UACAUGGGGUGCAAACGUUGCUCGGAAUUACUGGGCGUAAAGCGCACGUAGGCGGCUUUGUAAGUUAGAGGUGAAAGCCCGGGGCUCAACCCCGGAAUAGCCUUUAAGACUGCAUCGCUUGAACACGGGAGAGGUGAGUGGAAUUCCGAGUGUAGAGGUGAAAUGCGUAGAUAUCCGGAGGAACACCGGUGGCGAAGGCGGCUUCCUGGACCGACACUGACGCUGAGGCGCGAAAGCUAGGGGAGCAAACGGG
rnacentral:rRNA from 1 species